rnacentral:rRNA from 1 species
GGUGUGAAACCUCCAGGCUCAACCUGGAGCCGCCAUUCGAUACUGCCAUGGCUAGAGUUUGGUAGGGGACCACGGAACUCCUGGUGUAGCGGUGAAAUGCGCAGAUAUCAGGAAGAACACCAGCGGCGAAGGCGGUGGUCUGGGCCAAUACUGACGCUGAGGAGCGAAAGCGUGGGGAGCGAACAGGAUUAGAUACCCUGGUAGUCCACGCCGUAAACGUUGGGCACUAGGUGUGGGGACCUAUCGACGGUUUCUGUGCCGCAGCUAACGCAUUAAGUGCCCCGCCUGGGGAGUACGGCCGCAAGGCUAAAACUCAAAGGAAUUGACGGGGGGCCCGCACAAGCGGCGGAGCAUGUGGCUUAAUUCGAUGCAACGGC